GACGAACGCUGGCGGCGUGCCUAAUACAUGCAAGUAGAACGCAGUUGCGAACGGGUGAGUAACGCGUAGGUAACUGCCUCAUAGCGGGGGAGAACUCUUGGAAACGCUAGCUAAUACCGCAUACUGUAAGAUGGACCUGCGUUGGAUUAGCUAGUUGCUGAGGUAAAGGCUCACCAAGGCGACGAUACAUAGCCGACCUGCGUGGGUGAACGGCCACACUGGGACUGAGACACGGCCCAGACUCCUACGGGAGGCAGCAGUAGGGAAUCUUCCGCAAUGGACGGAAGUCUGACCGAGCAACGCCGCGUGAGUGAAGAAGGUUUUCGGAUUGUAAAGCUCUGUUGUUCGAGACGCGGUACCUAAAUAGAAAGGGACGGCUAACUACGUGCCAGCAGCCGCGGUAAUAC
rnacentral:rRNA from 1 species